rnacentral:lncRNA from 1 species
GGGACAGUGAGUCAGACUGGAAAAUCAGACUAGAAUUUGCUCCCAGGCUCUGGAGUUGGUGGGGGCAGGGGAUAAGGGAGUGUCCCCAGAGGCUGCUGGGGACAGGUCUUCCGAGGGGAUGUGUCACAAGAGUGCCAUGGUCAGGACUGGUGGUAGCCUCUUGAGGUCCACACCCUGGUCUGGCAGUGGUUAAGCUAACACUAGUGGGAAUGCUAUGCGUGCUAAUUCAGAGCACUCAUUGGAUUUCAGGCUCUGUAGGAAACAUUGCAUAUGAAAACUUGCAUGCCAUCCCUACCCGCUGACAUGGAUGCAACCGCAUCUCCACUUCACAGAGGAGAAAGUAAGGCACAGAGAGGUUAAGUCAUUUGCCCACACUGGUAGGAUGCAGCUGGUAGGAGGCAGAGACAGGAUCUGAACCCAAGAUCCGGGACACUCUAAACCACCGGCUGCCUGCUUUGAUGGAGGAUGGCCCCUAACAGGGAAGGGGGGAUGGAAGCCAGAGAGGCUGAGUCCAACACAGGUUCACAUCAACUCGAGGACGAAUCUUGAGGCCUCCACUGGUCUACACGGACAGAAGCACGCCUCAAGACCCGAGCCCUGCUUUACUCAUGGGAUUCCCUACAGAUGCCUGCUGGGGGUGGCAUUCUUUGCACCUUCCUUAAUCCAUGCAAAUUCAACUCCACAAGCCUGAUUUUCAAUCACAACCUUGAUCUCUCACCAUCUCGAAGGGAAAAUGGAUAAGGCUUUCCGACACUUGCAAUUAUAGUGCCAAUGAAUUCAACAAACAUGGAGGUUCCCCUGGGAUCGGUCUUGCGCUGGAGCUCAGGUGGAGUCCGUUGAAAUCGUCAGCUCUGCGUGGCCUGCCAGACUCUUCCUGUCCCGUCCCGUUCCUCACUCCCCUUUCACAGGCAUUACCCUGCAAAACCUCUUACCCUCCUAACUCCAUCUCAGCCCGUUUCCUGGAGAACCCGGAGAACACGCCCGCCUCUGAGAGCCUGCAAUUUGUGGACCUCCUGCAGUGGCUCUACCACACAAAUGGUUGUCGCCUUUGCUGAUGAUGCUGGAGGCCCAGCCUGCCUGCUGGUCAUGCAGGGGCCCAGGGAAGCCCAGCCAGGCACAAGGCGGAAGGAGAGGGCAAGGGCAACCAAUCUAAGGCCCCCAAGUGCACCUGCUUUUCCCUUAAAGCAGCUCGUCUGUCCUAGGGGAACCCAAAAGACCUGGAGACAGGCAGAAAGAGGCAUCGGUUCUGUCUGAUCCUAGCCCUUGGGGACUUCCAUCCCUGAAACAGAGACUGGCUGCUGUCCUCAACUGCCCAGCCUUCACGUGCUGCUGGCUAUAGCGCCUUUCCCCAUCUCCCCCCAGCCCAGGCACACCAGAUGUGCAAGAUUCAAUGUGCCAUGCAAGACCCCGGUGAUGCCCUCAGAGGGGCAACUGUCACCCACCAGGCCCUGGGGAGGGGAAACUGACAAAGGAUGGGCCUCGUCGCUGGAAAAGGAACAGGUCACUUCACUUCCCUAAGCAUCUGCAAAAUGAGCGGAAGGUCUCUACCUCCCAGACCUAAAAUCAGAUUCGGCAGCCCCCUUCCUUGCCCUGUACACGGUGCUCUUUCCCUGCAAGUCCACUGAACUUGACACUGGUCCCAUCUCUUCCUGCCAGAAUGGGAAUGAAAACCAGGGCCUGCGUAGCACCCACACUGUGCCUGGCCCUGCUAGGAGCAUGUCGUGUAUUUAAUCUGUUUCAUCUUCACGACGGCCCUGCAAGAGCCUCUCAAGGACGGAAUGGCCAGAGAACCCUUCCACCAGCGCCAGCUCCCCAGAUUUGCAAAUGAGCCACUGCUGCCGACCUCCUGCAGCUUCUCCUCCCUCCCCACCUCUGCCUUUGUCCUUUGCCUCUGGCCACUAUCUGAUUCCCAUACAGGUGAGCAAACAGCGGCUAUGUAAAAAAACAAACAAACAAACCAAACCAAAAAAACCCAAUAGCUUUUAGGAAGCAGUCACUCCCUAUAGCAAUACCACCACCCCAUUCGACAGACACGGAAACUGAGCCGUGGUGGGGUCGAAUGACGGGGCCAGGACCAGGCAGCUGGCCGUGACAUGCCUUUGCAUCGUGCUGAUCCCCGAGCCCCCUGCCCCCUCACGCCAUGGUGUCUGUCCCCGAUCCCCUCCCCAGGGCAAGGGGGCUGUGUCCUGGCCUCUCCACUGUGCCAGCCCCUUAUCCUGGUCCCACACUGGCCUCCCAGGUCUAAUUCUCCCUCACAAUCCAUCAGCACCCUUGCGAGACAAAACUGCCCUGAUUUCAGAAAACCGGCAAGUUACCUUAUUAAGCAACGGCUCACCACCCCAGACACUCCUGGGCCCCCACAGGGACUCACGUCCAGCCCAUGGUCGUGGGCUCCCGAGGGUCCUUGGUUGGGCCUCACCUCCUAGCCUUUGCCCACACAGGUUUUCUCCUCUCAGCCUAUUCCCUUCCCUAGACCUGCCUCCUUCAGGAAGCCACCCUGACUGCUCCAGUUUAUCUGUGUCAUCCCAGGAAAGCUUGUCUGGAGCCAACCCCAGGGUCUUUGGGACCAGUCCUUUGCUGCCCUGUGGGGCAGCAGCUCUUGGGGCUGGUGGCCAGGUCUCCUUCUACAGAGACUUUUGUGCACUUACUGGAGACCUCCUGAUCAGAUGGAAGCGAAGGAGCCAGGUUCCAGGUGAAGGCCUAGCUCCAACCUUGGGCACCGCCCCUGCCAUCAUGGUGAGGGUCGUCAACCACCCCCACCAGAAACCCCUGGGCUGCUUGUUGAAAACACAGAUUCCUGGGCCCCACCCUGGACCUAGAGCAUCAUCAGACUGUCUAGGUGGACCCAGGAAUCUGCAUUUAACCAACUUCUCG